GACGUAGGGCGCGAGCGUUGUCCGGAUUUAUUGGGCGUAAAGAGCUCGUAGGCGGCUUGUUGCGUCGACCGUGAAAACCCGUGGCUUAACUGCGGGCUUGCGGUCGAUACGGGCGGGCUGGAGUUCGGUAGGGGAGACUGGAAUUCCUGGUGUAGCGGUGAAAUGCGCAGAUAUCAGGAGGAACACCGGUGGCGAAGGCGGGUCUCUGGGCAGUAACUGACGCUGAGGAGCGAAAGCGUGGGGAGCGAACAGG
rnacentral:rRNA from 1 species